UGGCUCAGUGGUAGAGUGCUUGCCUUACAUGCACGAGGCCCUGGGUUUGAUUCCCCAG
rnacentral:tRNA from 1 species